GAUCUUUAUUUCCUUGUAACUGCUUAUCAGGUGGAUCAGGUUCCAAGUUAACCCUUUCCUCUUUUGGCUGAAAGUUAUCAGCUGAAUCACUCCUUAAUUCUUCUAGAAAUAUAGCACCAUCUGAUUCCAUAGACUCCCCAUAGAAUGAACCACCAUGGUGUAUCUUGUUAUAUCUCUUCAUGUGCCUUAGAAUUACUUCCGUCUUGCUGCUGUGAAGGGAUUAUUUUGCGAAGCUGCUCUAUGUCUGGCCAUCCAUAGGAGAAUUUCCAACAACUUCAUGCUCCAAUUCCUCCAAAAUUUCCAUACGUGAUACUUCAUUUUCUGUCCACUUGACAUAUGGAGACCCAUGUAAAUACGAUAUCUUAUUCAUUUCAAUAGGCUGAACAGAAGGUCUUGGAGUUUGAUCAUUUGUAUUUAAAUAAGAAGGUUUCAAGAGACUAGCAUAUUGGAUUUUGUUCUCAGUA